UACGUAGGGUGCAAGCGUUGUCCGGAAUUAUUGGGCGUAAAGAGCUCGUAGGUGGCCUGUCGCGUCGGCUGUGAAAACUCGGGGCUCAACUCCGAGCUUGCAGUCGAUACGGGCAGGCUAGAGUUCGGCAGGGGGAGACUGGAAUUCCUGGUGUAGCGGUGAAAUGCGCAGAUAUCAGGAGGAACACCGGUGGCGAAGGCGGGUCUCUGGGCCGAUACUGACACUGAGGAGCGAAAGCGUGGGGAGCAAACAGG
rnacentral:rRNA from 1 species